UGGGGAAUAUUGCGCAAUAGGGGGAACCCUGACGCAGCCAUGCCGCGUGAAUGAAGAAGGCCUUAGGGUUGUAAAGUUCUUUCGGUAUUGAGGAAGGUUGAUGUGUUAAUAGCACAUCAAAUUGACGUUAAAUACAGAAGAAGCACCGGCUAACUCCGUGCCAGCAGCCGCGGUAAUACGGAGGGUGCGAGCGUUAAUCGGAAUAACUGGGCGUAAAGGGCACGCAGGCGGUUAUUUAAGUGAGGUGUGAAAGCCCCGGGCUUAACCUGGGAAUUGCAUUUCAGACUGGGUAACUAGAGUACUUUAGGGAGGGGUAGAAUUCCACGUGCAGCGGUGAAAUGCGUAGAGAUGUGGAGGAAUACCGAAGGCGAAGGCAGCCCCUUGGGAAUGUACUGACGCUCAUGUGCGAAAGCGUGGGGAGCAAACAGGAUUAGAUACCCUGGUAGUCCACGCUGUAAACGCUGUCGAUUUGGGGGUUGGGGUUUAACUCUGGCGCCCGUAGCUAACGUGAUAAAUCGACCGCCUGGGGAGUACGGCCGCAAGGUUA
rnacentral:rRNA from 1 species